rnacentral:rRNA from 1 species
AGUAACACGUGGAUAACCUACCUAUAAGACUGGGAUAACUUCGGGAAACCGGAGCUAAUACCGGAUAAUAUAUUGAACCGCAUGGUUCAAUAGUGAAAGACGGUUUUGCUGUCACUUAUAGAUGGAUCCGCGCCGCAUUAGCUAGUUGGUAAGGUAACGGCUUACCAAGGCGACGAUGCGUAGCAGACCUGAGAGGGUGAUCGGCCACACUGGAACUGAGACACGGUCCAG